UCAAGAGUUCCCCCUCGAUGGGCGAAAGGGAAUCCGGUUCCUAUUCCGGAACCCGGCAGCGGAACCGAAUCUACGGGCCCUCUCAGAGAAGCUCGUCGGGGUAACCCAAAGGGACCCGGAGACGCCGUCGGGAGACCCGGGCAGAGUUUUCUGUUCUGCAUAAGCGUUCGAGUUCCCUGGAAUCCUCUAGCAGGGAGAUAGGGUUUGGAACGCGAAGAGCACCGCAGUUGCGGCGGUGUCCGGGUCGUCCCCUCGGACCUUGAAAAUCCGGGAGAGGGUCACGCGGAGGUGUCGCGCCGGCUCGUACCCAUA
rnacentral:rRNA from 1 species